rnacentral:lncRNA from 1 species
GAAGCAGUCAAGAAUCACCGCCGUUCCCCACAGUUGUACAGUAAAAUGUUCAGAUUUUAUUUGUGGCCAACACCGAGCCGAGGAGGAGGAAGAAAAGCUCUCGCUCCACGUCUUUUCGUCUGUCACACACACGGGUGCACAGUCAAUAAAUCACACAACUGAAAAAAAAGUCAUAAAUAUACAUGUUGUGCUUCUGCUAAAAGAAAAAAAAAAAAGUCCACAGCAUUCUGGAGGAAUGGAAACACCAAGAAGGUUCUGUCUUCUACUCGUUUCAUAAAAUAAUGUUUUAGAACAGACAGUACUGUUCGAUGCUCUUCUUCACCGCCUGCUUCAUAAAAAGAAAAUGUAUAGCACUGCCAUUGUGUUACGGCUUUCGCUAGAAGCUCGAACAACAUGCACAGCACCAUCAAGAACAGCAGACCAGAGUCGGCAACUAUGACAUCACACACUAUGCUAAAAACUUUACAAGGUACUAUCCACUGUCUGCAGCAAGUGUGACACCAAAAGUGAUAAACUUGGUUAAACCUCGAUGUAACAAACUCCAGUGUAAUAAAUCAUCUUACUUUUUAUAACUUGAUGACAGAAAAUUUGCACCGUAUAUUUUUAGCCUCAAUUAACGAAAAGUGUUUGUCUGCAAUUUCAGGAACAUUUAGGCAUUAAAUGAAAGUAUCGAGGGCGCCGGCGGCCACGCAUGGUUGAAUUAUAUGAGGCUGCUUAUGAAUUUGUCAGAAAAAUAAGUUUUUUAAAUGUAUAGACACAGAUUUAGGGUAUUUCAGUGUGAUAAAAUUUCGAUGCUAUGAAGUAAAGUUCAAACUUGUACAACUUUGUUAUAUUGAGGUUUAACUUACCUCUGUUCUGUAUCACUAGAAAACAUUUUAAAAACAAACUGUUGCACACAAGGAAGGGUUUCCCAGCAUAUGGAGUAACUGUACAGUACACUCCCUAAUUAAGAUGAACAUGGUGGGGUUUAAGUGAAUUUUGGCUUGACAUUCCGAAGGUUCAGUUUUUGAGAGAGGCCCGAUACCUCGGGUCAUGCUACUGCAAUUGAACGCAUGCUAUAUUUCAUAAACCAGGAAAUACAUAAGCAUUAUUGCAGAGAGCCUUAAAAAUGUAGCUUAUUAGGAACUCUGCAAUAAAAUAUUUACAAAGUCUUGCACUGUGCCUACAGCAGCUGCUAACUAUUCACUUCUUCCUUUUUUGCAAAACUUGGGAUAAAUAUUCCCAUUACUUCUCUUAUCUAGUCAUCAUCUCUAUCAGUCACUGCGGUCUUGUCUUGCAAUCAUACUGAUCGUUGCUGGUGGCAGGCAUGCGACCAAUUAAUGAGUAAAUGAUCUUAUGUAAACUAAGCUUUGUCAAUAUGAGCCCUGCUCUUAAGUUAAACAGGGAGGGUGUGUACUCAAUUUACUGCAACAUUGUCAUGCUCCCAAGAAUAAAACUGCAUUGGUUUGUUUACGGAGCAAAAUGUACUCUUUUUGUACAGACAUGAAAAAUAAAUCAGAACAGCUCUCGUACAAAUUAGUUCAGAAUGCAAUGUGCAAUCACUGGGCACAACUUGCACCGGUGCCACUGCUCCACGAUACAGCAUUGACGACAUCAUUGUAACACAUGUUGGCCCCCGACUGUAGAAACGGAUAUAGAUUCCAAGUUCUCAUGUCAUUUCAUGCUGAUGGUAGCAAGGCAUUGAGCUGUUGGUCUUAUUUUUCAUUAUGUUGCUUCUCUCUCCAACUGCACCGAAUUCCUUGCGCAGAGCAAUGUAGUGAAAAGCUUACCUUCCCACUCGUGUGCAGUUAUUAAACAAACAAACAUGGGGGGGGGGGGCACUGAUAGAAAGCAAAGGCAGCUGAAUGCUUCGAGAGCUAGCCUUGGAUCCUCACAGGAACUUGCCUUAAACAACGGGCAUGAGACAAAUGAUUUGUGUUAAUGAAUUUCCUUUGAGUUUCUUUCUGGAGGAAACUAUGCAAGUGUCUCCAAACUUUGCAAAUGUCCCCGAACUCAACAGAUGUCCCCAUAUUCAGCUUAACAGAGUUAACAUUAAAGGGAGUGUACUGUAGUCACCGUGAGGCAUAACACUGACAAAAGCACACGACUCCAACACGAACACAUUUUUUUUCACUUAACUCUAAACGUUUUUGCAUUGGCGCUGCAGAUGUAACUUUGUUGACAAUAAUUCAUAUAUGUACAAUGUCUUUAUAUUCUUCACUUUGUCACUGAAAGCCUUCAUGGUCUUCAGUGACUGUGAAGCAAGGAAACAAAAGACGUAUUCAGACUUUUCACUGCUCAAUCGUGCAAACCAAGCUUGCAAAAAGUUUCCUAUUGUAAUAUCCACUGCUUUGAGCUGCAUGCAAUCUGUUGACCCAAAGGAAAGCACUGACGCUAUUAUGCUGUCCCAUUAUCUUUUUUUUUUUCUGCCAUCUUGCACGCUUUUACAGGACUUGCAAAAACUGCAUGUGUUUAUAAUGACAGAAAAGUACUGGAAGAA